UUUUAUUUUAUUAUUUUUGUGUGUGUUAACAUUGGGCUAUUGGGCAUAUACCCCAUUUGGUUUCUGCUAUCAUUAUCAUCCUAUAAUCCACUAUUCACCCCACAUUAAUAUCUAUUUUAAUUUUAUUUUAUUUGUUUAUUUUCUUUUAUUACCUUAAUAAUAAAUAUCAUUUUUAUAAAAUUAAAAUCAACGUUAUUCUCAAAUGGUAUAAACCUUGAUCCAACGUCAAGUGUUCUUUCAAAAUCCAAUUCAACG
rnacentral:lncRNA from 1 species